rnacentral:tRNA from 1 species
GGGCGCGUGGCCUAGCCCGGAUAUGGCGGCAGCCUCCUAAGCUGUAGGUCGGGGGUUCAAUUCCCUCCGCGCCCG